GGAGGAAAGUAGGGGAUCGCAAGACCUUGCGCUUUUUGAGCGGCCGAUGCCUGAUUAGCUAGUUGGUAGGGUAAUGGCUUACCAAGGCAACGAUCAGUAGCUGGUCUGAGAGGACGACCAGCCACACUGGGACUGAGACACGGCCCAGACUCCUACGGGAGGCAGCAGUGGGGAAUUUUGGACAAUGGGCGAAAGCCUGAUCCAGCCAUGCCGCGUGAGUGAAGAAGGCCUUCGGGUUGUAAAGCUCUUUCGGUCGGGAAGAAAUAGUUGUGGCUAAUAUCCACAAUGAAUGACGGUACCGACAUAAGAAGCACCGGCUAACUACGUGCCAGCAGCCGCGGUAAUACGUAGGGUGCAAGCGUUAAUCGGAAUUAUUGGGCGUAAAGGGUGCGCAGGCGGUUGUAUAAGUCAGAUGUGAAAUCCCUGGGCUUAACCUAGGAAUUGCGUUUGAAACUACAAAGCUAG
rnacentral:rRNA from 1 species